rnacentral:misc_RNA from 1 species
AACGCACCUUGCGCUCUCUGGUAUUCCGGAGAGCAUGCCUGUUUGAGUGUCAUGAACUCUUCAACCCACCGGUUCCUUGUUGGACCGAGUUUGGUGUUUGGAUUUUGAGCGUUGCCCUGUGCCCUGGUGCCGGUGGCUGGUUCGUAAUACAUUAGCCUCUUGAAUUUCAAUUUUCGGAUUGACUCAGCGUAAUAGACUAUUCGCUGAGGACACUCGCAAGAGUGGCCGAAAUCGAAAGAGUAGGAGCUUCUAACCACCCCUAGUCACACCUAAAGAUUAGACCUCAGAUCAGGCAGGAUUACCCGCUGAACUUAA